UACGAAGGGGGCUAGCGUUGUUCGGAAUUACUGGGCGUAAAGCGUGCGCAGACGGCUUCUCAAGUCAGGGGUGAAAGCCCAGAGCUCAACUCUGGAAUUGCCUUUGAUACUGGAAGUCUUGAGUCCGGGAGAGGUGAGUGGAACUGCGAGUGUAGAGGUGAAAUUCGUAGAUAUUCGCAAGAACACCAGUGGCGAAGGCGGCUCACUGGCCCGGAACUGACACUGAGGAGCGAAAGCGUGGGUAGCGAACAGG
rnacentral:rRNA from 1 species